AUUGCACUGCAGUUAAGGAUGUCAACAGAUUACACCUGUCAUAGUUGUGGUGCUUCAGUGAAUACCCUAAAAGGGUACGUGAUGCAUCAAGGGCUUCAUAAAAAUGAGCCACAUUAUCAGUAUGCAUGUUGUAUGGAAAGUUGUAAGUUUCAGUUCAGAAAUUACAAUGCUUUUAAAUGUCAUGUUUACCGCCAUCAUCGACGGUCAUCUACUGUGUCACAGUCUCAAAAUUUGCAGGUAUCCUUUCUAUGUCAACUUCCACAUUGUCAGAAACAGUUGAUCGACCUUAAACACCUUCUCUGUCACCUAAAAUCUCACGUUUCAAGAAGAGAGGUAGUGCAUUGUCCAUUUAAAGACUGUGAUAAAACUUUUUCAGUGACAUCAUCUUUCACAGCCCACCUAUCUAGGAAGCACAAAAACCCCACAGCUCUGCAUGUCUCUGGUGCAUACUGUCCUCCUUCAGUUCCUAGUGAGUCUCAGUCCUCUGUUGCUGAAAGCCAGGCAGAUGAAGGGUCAGCUGAUGAUGAGCCUGAGGCAGAUGUCCCAGACCUUGCACAAAUGAAAAGUUUGUACAUGAGAAAUCUGUGCAUGUUUUAUAUGAAACUACAGGCCAAACAACUUAUCCCUUCCUCUACAAUCCAGUUGAUCGUAGAAGAACUGAAUAGUCUUAAUGGAAUGUGCCUGCAGUACACGAAAAGUCAACUGAAAGCAUCUCUUCAAACAAAAACUGAACUAUCUGUGACUGAAAUUGAAGAUGUUUUGAAGACCCUAGAUGAUGUAGAUAUUCAUGGAUCCUGCAGCUCCUCCUUUUCCACAGACUACAACAGAAUACGGUAUUUUGAGGAGAAUUUUCCAUACGUGCAUCCACAACCCAUUUUUUUGGGGUUAGAUGAAAAUAGAAAGGAGCAAUAUGCUCAGUAUGUUCCCAUAAAGCAUACAUUGACAACUCUGCUAAACCAUACUGAUUUGCUUGAACAGGGUUCUACAUCUGAGAAUGAAGGUACACCUCAUAUUUUAAAUGAUGUGUCUGAUGGAUCAGUAUUUAAAUCCAAUCCUCUUUUUGCUGAGUCAGGUCUCACAUUGAAAGUGAUAAUUUAUCAAGAUGCUUUUGAAGUGGUCAAUCCCCUCGGCUCGGCAAAGAAAAAACAUAAGAUGCUUGGUGUCUACUUCACUCUAGCAAAUUUCGAACCUUUUCAUCGAUCCACUAUUGACAACUUGCAGCUUUUGCUUUUGUGCCGAGAAGCUGAUUUCAAGUAUUUUGGCCACGAGAAAGUGUUCUGUCAAUUGAUAAACGAUCUUGGAGAACUGGAGACAAAUGGACUGAAUAUUUCUGGAAACAUUGUUAAGGCAACUGUCUUUUGCAUUGCUGGUGACAAUUUAGGGUCACAUAACAUUGGUGGAUUCACAGAAAAUUUCAGUACAUCUCAACAUUUCUGCCGAUAUUGUCAUGUAACCAGAAGUGAGCUAGACAAUUUGGAACACCAUGCUCCAAUCCGUACAGUACAAGAGUACAAGGACACUGUUCAAGAACUGCAAAAUGGUGAUGCAAGUGUCGUCAGAGGUGUGAAAUGUAACUCUGUCUUUAAUUCACUGACAUUUUUUCAUGUUUGCCAGCCAGGCCUCCCGCCCUGUAUUGGCCAUGAUCUCUUUGAGGGUGUCGUGGCAUCUGACCUUGCCAUUUACCUGACCCAUUUUGUCAAGGUGAAGAAAUUCUUCACAUAUUCACAGCUUAAUCGAAGGAUCAAACAGUUUAGUUACCAGGGAUCUGAUGGUAGCUCAAAACCAGCUGAAGUUUCAGAAAAGGGUGUGAAAUUAGGUGGCCAGGCAACAGAAAACUGGUCUUUGCUGAGACUUCUCCCCAUUAUCAUUGGUGAAAAGAUCACAGACGCAGAGGAUCCUGUAUGGCAACUGACUGUCCAGCUGAAAGAGCUAGUGGAAUUGAUUUGUGCCCCUACUAUAUCAGUACCCCAGGUUGCAUUGCUCAAUGUUUUGAUCAGUGAUUAUCUGGAAGGAAGGAAAGAAUUUUUUCCUUCACAAAAACUAAAACCAAAGCAUCAUUACCUCACCCACUACCCUGCCUUAAUACUAAAGUUUGGCCCACUCAUUCGGCUGUGGACAAUGAGGUUCGAGAGCAAGCAUUCAUAUUUCAAAAGAUGUGUGCGAAGGACGCAAAACUUCAAAAAUGUAUGUCACACACUUGCAAAGAACCAUCAGCUACUGCAGGCAUACCUACAUUCUGGCUCCUUUUUUGCACCCUCAUUGGUGGUUAAGAACUCCACUCCUUUCCAUGCUGAACUGUACAGCGAAGCAGUGCGCUCUGCAGUAGGAGAAACCUUAGUCAAAGAACCCAAUGUCGAGUCAGCUACCGAGGUGCAGUGGAAAGGCACUCGGUACAAAAAGGGACUCUUUCUGUGUUUAAACCAAGGUGAGGCACUUGAAUUCGGACAGAUUGAGCUCAUGCUUGUGACCCAGGACCAGCAUGUGUACUUUAUCGUUACACCUCAUGACGUGUCCUAUAUGCCAGCGUUUGCAUUGUAUGAAGUGAAACAAGCAAGACAGAGCAUGAAAUGUUGGAAGCCUGAGCAGAAACUAGAUUAUUAUCCUUUGUCUGUGUACAAGCUUUGUGGGACAAGGGUAAUUUCGCUUAAGCAUAGCAUUGCUGACUCAGAGUAAUCUGGAGUUUGAGAGAUUAAAAUCUGACAGUAAUGCUUGAAGAACAGUCUUUUUCAUCUCUUCUAGUCCUCCUAGUCAUGGAUACAGAGUCUGCUUCUGUCUUUCAUCAAAUCAAGUCUUCCUAAACUGAGAGACCCUGAGCCUUUGCUGGAGCAUCUGCAAGGUUUAGGAGUUGAGGACCUGGAGGACCUGAGCUACCUGCAGGAGAGUGACCUCCUUUCUGUCCUGAGACCAGUUGAAGCCAGGAAACUUCUGUCACUGCUCAAAAAGAAAAGCCAGCAAGAUGUCUUGGACAGUCCUCCAAGCAACCAGAGCAACCAACAGUUCAGCAGAGCCGGUACCAGUACAAGUCCAGUAACACAGUCUGAUGAGCUGGCCCUUUCUGGUGGUUACAGCUCAGAAACUGUAAGUUCACCACGGUCAACAAGUAGUUCAAGUAUGGAUAUCACACCUUCUCGACUGUCUGACAAUAGCUGGCAUUUUAAAUUUCAAAUUCCUUGGCAAAAAAUUCCAUCUGAGAUCAUCAGAAAGCUGGAAACAGGGAAGCGGCCAACAAAAAGUGAGAGACUUGAAAUCAUACGGCUCAUUGUCAGUGAAAUCUUAACCGCGUGCCCAACACCUGGGAAGAAACAUAUCAGUGAGAUAGCAAGGAAGAUGACAAAGGCCUACCCUGUGGCAUUUACUGAUGUCAUUGAAGGUGAAGUUGUAGGCAGUGGGUAUGACUCACUCACCAAACAGAUGGUCAGCAGAGUGGAUAACCUGAAGAGAGGAAACACUUCACUUUCCUUAAAGAGACAAAUUAUCAGCAGCAGUGAAGGAGAGGAUACCCCAACUCCGAAAAAAAGACUAGACACUUACGGGUGUAUAAACUGGCAACCAACACGGCUGCCCCCUGAUGAAACCCCUGAAUCUCAGAAACAUGCACAAGAACAGUUAAAGAAAAUGUGGAGAGAAAGAUGCUGUGACAGCAAAGCCAUUGAGGAUAUGAUGAGAGCCACUUUCUUCACUCAGAGAAAAGACAUUAUCAGUGGGACUGAGACUUCUGACUUGACAAAGGAAUGGCCAUAUCUGUUUGAGACAACUGGCAUGAAGACUCAUUUUAAAGAGCUUACAGGUGUGGACAUGGAAGACAAAAACAUGGCUAAUAAAUGUGCCAGAGUUAUUUCAUUUCUUAAAUCAGGUGACAAGACAGGAAAGAUGGAGACCAUCUUCAGGGAAAUGGAAACAUCAAGCAAAAAUGUUGCAGAUGUGAAUGUUGCAGUGGUUCUUCCACUGCUCCUCAAGUACUUCAAUGAAGAAGAAGAACAGAUGUUCUACAAAGUGGAUCAAACAACCCUGCCGUCUGAAGUGGACUGUGCUGGACUUCCAAGUACACCAUGUAUUGUUGUGUGUGGAAACUCGACUUUGGCAGCAGAGAAUUUCAUGCUAUCUGUUGACCAGACCAUUGUGAAUGGCCACAUCAGAAUCUUCAGUGAUGCUUUUUUGCUGAUGUUUGGUUCGUACUACUGUAUGAACAUAUCUUACCCAGCAGCCCAAGCAUCAACUUUGGAGUUCUUACAGAGGUGCCUCUUCAAGAUAAAUCCAGAUAAGGGAUCAAAAGUGGAGCGGAACGCCACCAAAAAACAACUUGCAGUCAGUCCAAAGGUUCUCACACUGAUCACCAAAAUUGCAGACUAUGAGUGGAGGGAAUAAGAAGUGCUCUCUAGUUAUGGAUACUUUGUCCAAGUUACAGACUGUUAUGGAUUAAUAUCCAGUGAGGUUUCAUGUGAGCUAUGUAGCUUUGUCAUCAAUGUUUUGGAUCUAUGGUUACUUGACCAGGUUAUGGAUGACUUAAAUAGAAUAUGUAUUCAUUUCCAGAGAGGUUUACUGUAGGUUUGUAAUCUGUGUUGUGGAUGUACAGUGACUUGACCAAGUUAUGGAUGCCUUGGAUAGAGUAUGGAUUCAUUUCCAGUGAGGUUUGACAAAGUUUCUCAUCAGUGUUUUGGAUCUAUGGUUACUUGACCAAGUUAGGAAUGCCUUGAAAUACUGGGAAUUGGUAACUCAGCUUUUUUUUUUUUAAUGCUUUUUUCUUUCAUUUUCAAUUCAGUUUAAUUUUAUUUUUGUUUGUUUCAGAGCCAGUCAUUUUAAUUUAAUCGAUUUUUGUAUAUUGUUGUAAUAAUGGUUACCUGUUACAGUUGAAUAAAAAAUACUGAGAAUGGGAAACUGUAGCUGUUCUUGUUCAGCUUUGUCUCAUUCAAACACAACAAUUCAUUUAAGCCCCUUUUCCCACUGGCCAAAAAACGGUUUAAACCAUUUAAAAUAAAAAUAAUUCCGGUGUUAUUAGGUGAGAACGUUUUUUAAGUUGAAAGCCCUUUAAAUAUUCAGCAAAUCUAUGUAAAAGAAAACUAAAAACUAAACUUGCAAUAAACAGUAAAUUGUUGCAAUUGUACACCCAAUAUGUAGUUAAGUGUUUUUGACAUGUUUUGAAAGAUUAAUCAAAUUAUUGUGUCGUAUACGGUUAUAUUACAUCUAUUAUAAAGUAAUAUACUGCCUUUUUACAUAAAAUAAUGCCAUUAAAAACAACUAAUAACAGCACAUUUCUGUAAAUUUAAGCAUUAUUAUUCAUAUUGCAAUGUUAAUUUGCCAUCUUUAUGGGUAAUUUCAUUGUUUUAAAACGUAAACUGUUUGUAAUUAAUUGUUAAAAACAACGUAAAAUAACUAAAUAUGCGUUUGAUGUGAUCUAAAAUUAACAGUAAAUUGUUGCAAUUUUAAACCCAAUAUCUAGUUUUUCAACAGUUUUUUGACAUGUUUUGAAAGAUGAAUCACAUUAUUUUGUGUGUUAUAUACUGUUAUAUUACAUCAAACACAAAUUAUUAUACAACCUCUUUCCGUAAAACAAUGUCAUUAAAACCAACUAAUAACAGCACAUUUCUGUAAAUUUAAGCAUUAUUAUUCGUAAUACGACAUUUACUUACCAUAUUUCUAGGUAAUUUAAUUGUUUUAAAAUGUGAAAAUG